GGGGGCGGAAGCGGCGCGAUGGCGCGGGGCCGGGUGAGGACGCGGCUUCGCUUUGCUUCCGGGGUGGCUGCCGCGUGGCCGGUGCUGCGGGGGGCCGCGGCGGCCCCGCUCCAGCCCCCCCCGAGCAGCGAGAGGCUCCCGACGCCCCCCCCUCGCCCCCUGCACCGGGACGCGGCGCUCCGCGCGCUGCCGGCCGACGAGAUCCGGCGGGCCCGCGAGGCGCGGCGGCAGGCGGGCGCC